rnacentral:rRNA from 1 species
AGUUUACAACUCCCAAACCCCUGUGAACAUACCACUUGUUGCCUCGGCGGAUCAGCCCGCUCCCGGUAAAACGGGACGGCCCGCCAGAGGACCCCUAAACUCUGUUUCUAUAUGUAACUUCUGAGUAAAACCAUAAAUAAAUCAAAACUUUCAACAACGGAUCUCUUGGUUCUGGCAUCGAUGAAGAACGCAGCAAAAUGCGAUAAGUAAUGUGAAUUGCAGAAUUCAGUGAAUCAUCGAAUCUUUGAACGCACAUUGCGCCCGCCAGUAUUCUGGCGGGCAUGCCUGUUCGAGCGUCAUUUCAACCCUCAAGCACAGCUUGGUGUUGGGACUCGCGUUAAUUCGCGUUCCUCAAAUUGAUUGGCGGUCACGUCGAGCUUCCAUAGCGUAGUAGUAAAACCCUCGUUACUGGUAAUCGUCGCGGCCACGCCGUUAAACCCCAACUUCUGAAUGUUGACCUCGGAUCAGGUAGGAAUACCCGCUGAACUUAAGCAUAUCAAUAA